AGUUGGAGUUGCUUGGACAGGCGAGUCACAGCACUGCUCUCCAACGCUCCCCUUGCAAGUAAAAUGUACAAUAGUGUCUGUGUGGUUGCUUUCAGUAACAGGUUCUGUUUACCAGCAGGCUUGAUUUAAACCCAACAUAUUUUUGGUCCUUCGAGCCCGGGGAUCCAAUACACUGCCCAUCUGACGAGGGGGGUGGGAAAGACGCACCGAAGUCCAUGCAUGGCCAGGAUGCCUAGGAGCUCCUGUUGACAGACCUGGGAUACAAGAUUCGCCACCAGGCCGGUGUCGUAGGGUCGGACCCAGCCCCCUUGGCGGACAUCGGUUGAUGGGUUCCACAGACUGUUACUGCGACCAACACACGCACCUUAAAGAGCUGGCUGGCUUUUCUAACCCUCCACAUGGAUGAUGGUGUUGGGGACAUGGCUGUUUUGAUUGGCAGGUGUCUAGACACCACAGUGUUUCCUACAUAAUCCAGAUGGGGCGAGGACCAUCGAGGGAGAACGGGAGGUCACAGUGUUUUACAUUUUGGUUGUAGGGGCUGCCUUAAACUUCAUUAGCAGAAGAAGAUAAGAGAUGUUGGAAACACUUUCUUACACAGCUGGGAACUCUGUGUUGCAACCUUUAAAAAUUCAUAUGUGGCUUUGACAUGUGUGUCAAUUUGGGAAAAUUAAUCACAAGUACAGCAGGGCUGGAGGGAACACAAAAAGUAAGGGAUUACAGUCAGUAUACACUUUGACAGAUCCAAGAUACACAUCUCCGAAUCAAAUAGUUCAACUGAAACACAUUGACGAGAAAAGAAAAUUCACAAACUGGUCUUUACAAAGCCACAUCAUCUGUUUGCAGCAAGACAGCUCAUGCCUCCACAUGACUAGAACCUACUUGUAGUGAAAGAAGACAUGUCAUAUCAGCUGCCAAUACAGGUGAGGGAUGCAAGAGAGCUUUGACAUUUUCAAAAACCUUGACUUUUGAACUCAAGAGGUCAUUGAGGGUCAUUGCAAUUUGCAACUGCUGCAGAGAAGCUUCUAAAAAAGUACCCCACCAUGCUAAGUUCUGUCUUUGAGGACUUUUGCUCCCACUAGACAAACAACCUAUCCCAGACAGGUAACAGUAGCAAUAGAAAACUCACAUUUGGCCAAAUUCACAGUCAAACAAUACACGUGCUGCCUGCAGAUGUUUUUUUCCAAAUUCUGUUAAUCAUAUGACCAUAUCAUCAAGUUAUGCAGCACAAUCAGAAAGAAUAGUCACCACAUGGUUCAUAAGCCACUGGAAUGUUGCUGGGAUAUUACGCAAACCAAAAGGCAUCACCUUUUAGGAAGUGAGACUGGUAAAUUUUGUGGGAGCAGCUUGGCUCUAGGAAACAGAGGGACCUGCCAGCAUCCUUAAAUUUACUCACAAAUUUGGCUAAUGAAUGGCAACGGAAACACAUCUGCUUUUGUGACAGAGUUUAACUUUCUGAAAUCUGUCUAAAUGUGGGUUUUGUUUUGUUUUUAACUAGUAAACAGAGAUAUCCAGCUGGAUUUGGAGUUUUCUGUUCUGUUAUCUAGCAUGUGUUGAAUCGCUUUCUCCAGCUGUUCUCUCUUAUCAGGGAAAACACAGUAAAAGCGUUGCUUGAUGUGUUGAGCAUCUCUAACAUCUAUAUACUGCUCAAUGAGGUGUGAUGAGGUAUCAGAAAAAAAACUGUGAUCAAUGAAACCUGUUGUUGGCGCUUACCCUCAUCCAAGCGGCCAAGAAACAACUGUUUGGUGGAAGCGCUCUAGAGCACCUUAGGUUCGCAGAUGGUAAUGUUUUUACCACUGAUUUGGUUGCAAUGGAAUGCAAAGGUUAAGUUGCUUGACAGUGAUAGCCUGGCACAAGUUACCAGACUUUGAGGUCUUAUAGAGACAAAUCUCUUAAAAUGAGACCAAAAGAAAUAAUGGUAGAUCCAUCUGCAUGUCUGUCAGACACCUAUAUGUAAUGCUACACCCUCAUAGGAUACUUUGAAGAAACUUUCUCUGAAUUUAACAGGGACCACAACUUAAAUGACCAAUAUUCUCAAACAGUCAUCUCCUUGCACAAGUCAUCUGCGCACCAGGACAUUGGACUGCACAAAGUACCCUUGAGCUAUACUUUUAAAAACUUUUGCAGGGGCAGGAGUCCAAAACAAACCUUAAGAGGGGGAUCAGACUUCUGAACCAACUCACUACAAAAAAGAUAGAUAAGAGACAGAGGUAAUGCUACAUAUUUCACUACAGUUUCUAUGUCCUUUUAUCACUUUGUUUUUUCAACGCAUAG